GCAUUGGUAGCUUAAAUAAAAGCAUCAGUCUUGUAAGCUGAAUAUGAAGGUUAAAAUCCUUAACAACGCU
rnacentral:tRNA from 1 species